AUUGAACGCUGGCGGCAUGCCUUACAUAUGCAAGUCGAACGGCAGCACGGGUGCUCGCACCUGGUGGCGAGUGGCGAACGGGUGAGUAAUACAUCGGAACGUACCUUAUCGUGGGGGAUAACGCAGCGAAAGCUGUGCUAAUACCGCAUACGCCCUGAGGGGGAAAGCGGGGGAUCGAAAGACCUCGCGCGAUUAGAGCGGCCGAUGCCUGAUUAGCUUGUUGGUGGGGUAAAAGCCCACCAAGGCGACGAUCAGUAGCUGGUCUGAGAGGACGAUCAGCCGCACUGGGACUGAGACACGGCCCAGACUCCUACGGGAGGCAGCAGUGGGGAAUUUUGGACAAUGGGGGCAACCCUGAUCCAGCAAUGCCGCGUGAGUGAAGAAGGCCUUCGGGUUGUAAAGCUCUUUUGUCAGGGAAGAAACACCGGCUCUAACACAGUCCGGGAAUGACGGUACCUGAAGAAUAAGCACCUGCUAACUACGUGCCAGCCGCCGCCGUAA
rnacentral:rRNA from 1 species